rnacentral:tRNA from 1 species
GGAGGAUUAACCCUAAUUGGUAAGGGAGCGGUCCUGAAAACCGCUAGUAACCGUGAACAACGGCGUAAGAGUUCGAGUCUCUUAUCCUCCGCCA